ACAUAACCUGGGGAGAUGGCCGAGCUCAGAUCCUCAACAAUGGCGACCUCCUCACUCUCUCCCUUGACAAGGCCUCCGGCUCCGGCUUCCAGUCCAAGAACGAGUACUUGUUCGGCAAGAUUGACAUGCAGCUCAAGCUCGUUCCUGGCAACUCCGCUGGCACUGUCACCGCAUACUAUGUAAGUCUCUUUCUUAAUCAGUUUGUGCCCCUUUAUCUUCAAGCUUCCUUCUUUUCUUCUCGAUCAGAUUUUGAACUUUUGCUAUGUUGUGAUUCUACAGUUAUCUUCAAAUGGGUCAACGUGGGACGAGAUUGACUUCGAGUUCUUGGGGAACUUGAGCGGCGAUCCCUACAUUCUUCACACCAACGUGUUCAGCCAAGGCAAGGGCAACCGAGAGCAGCAAUUCUAUCUCUGGUUCGACCCAACUGCUGAUUUCCACACCUACUCCAUCCUCUGGAAUCCACAACGCAUCAUGUAAGAGUCUGAAACGCUCAAACUGCGAUCUUACUUGCAUUUACGUUGCACUGCACUUUUCUCUGCAGCAUUUACUUAAAACUUUUGUGGCAACCAUUGCAGAUUCUCAGUGGACGGGACUCCGAUCAGAGAGUUCAAGAACGCAGAGUCCAUCGGUGUUCCUUUCCCCAAGGCCCAGCCCAUGAGGAUAUUCUCGAGCCUCUGGAACGCGGACGACUGGGCGACCAGAGGCGGCCUAGUGAAGACGGACUGGACGCAAGCGCCCUUCACUGCUUCCUACAGGAACUUCAACGCCGAUAACGCCUGCGUUUGGUCAUCUGGGUCAUCGUCUUGCACUUCGUCUUCAUCUUCUUCGGAUGGUAAUGCAUGGCUAUCAGAAGAGCUUGACUCAACAAGCCAAGAGAGGCUCAAGUGGGUGCAGAGCAACUACAUGAUCUACAACUACUGCUCGGAUGCCAAAAGAUUCCCCCAGGGCUUCCCUCCUGAGUGCACCAUGUCCUAGACGACACGAGACGUUGAUUUUGUAGAAAAUUCUCUUUCUUUUUUUUUACUUUUUUUUCCCGAGACAACUCUAUUCAUUUGUUAAUCUCUCUCUGCUACCGAGAAGCAAUUGAUAUUCUUUUAUUCUUUGACAUGUGUAACAUUCUUGUCUGUACUCAAUAAAACAGAAAAUCAUCUUGGAUUUGAUAGCAUUGCUGCGAUUUGGUGAGUGGAUACAACGCAGAACAAAAUUAAUCGAAUGAAAAUGGAUUUUACAGACUAGCUUCUGCCUUGAACAUGAAAUUGAUGACAGAAUUGAUUACGCUGUUGUAGCUCAGAAAAUUUGAUAAGCGCUACAUUGAGCUAGUCUUGUUUUUACGCUGAGGUAUCCUCAUCAAGGGACUGAUUUGGCCGACAUUUCUUACUGGUCCUUGUGUUUCACGGAAGUACCAGCCAUAGACAACCGAUAAUCAUCAUACCCUCAUGACCAGACGAGCUCUCCAACUCUGCAAACUCAAAAAAUAUCAUUGACUCCAACAUAGAAUUAACCGCAAUUUAUGGCUGAUAAAUCUGAAGUCAACCAAACUUAAAGAGCAUGGUGCCGCAAACUAGGAUCCAUAGAUCGUGCAGUGGGCAACCUGCAAUCCCUCCGACAACCGAUGGCAUUCUUAGCUGACUUCACGAACUCUAAUGUUAAAUAGUUUCAGGGACUUAAAGCUUCAAAUAUAUCAAUCGUUUAUAUAUAGUUCUGAACAAAAAUAGUUUGUCCUUUUCUAACUCCUGACUCAUGAUCAUCCCAACUUGAAGCCACAUUCGUUUUUCAGUCCACAAUUCCUUGCUCACUUUUUCAGCCUUCCACUACAUUACUUGUUACAGCUCAAAUAGCGACGAGAGAACCUUAUUCCCACUCGUCAAAAUCGUGUCACCUCAUUCGACCAAACGAAGUUGCAAACUUAUUGCCCGUGGAGACGGGCUACAAUUGUAAAAUUUGGGUGGUGGCACCAAAAAAAGAAAAAAGAAAAUAAAGGUCGAAAAGUCAAAGAAGAAAAGAGAAAAGAAGGGGACGCUCGGUUCUUAAAUAGACCGAGAGCAUGAGCAGGUUAAAAAAAAAAACCGAUUCAACUCCAAUUUACAGCAUUCAGUAAGUACUCGCAUCCCUCGUUCCUCCAAUCGGAUUGAUUUUGGGGUUUAGGACAAAAUCUGAUUUUUGAGUUAUUGAGUUAUGAAAUUUCAUGAAAAUGAUAGUUUAUGAUGUCAUGAAGCCAUAGGGUUUGUUGAGAAUUGUUUUUUAGCAACAAUUUGGUCGGAGCGAAUAUACGUACUCAUAUAGUCAAAAUGAACAAUGAAAUAUGCGGUUAUGUGAGUAGUAAAAUACUAAAGUACACAUUAAUUUCAAGUACCCUAAUUCGUACAUGUACAAUACAAAAAAACAAGUUAUAUCUUUCCACAAAACUUCAUACAUAUAAAAAAUCAUCUAAAUCAACAACAUUGAAUCAUAGAUAUCUAUUCCAUUGAUCAAUAUCACAUCAAAUCAAACGACGAUGGUCCAUUCCAUCAACUAAUCUCAAAUCACAUGUCAACGACCCAUUCUAUUGACCAUAUUCAUGCUCAAAUAUCUAACAAUGAUCGUACAUAUCAUUCUGUGACAAAGCGAACAAGAUUCCCGUUGUCAAGUUCUCCAUGGCCUAGAAUGAUAUCCUAAAAUCAAUAUGCAUACCCAAAAACCUUCUUACCAAGUCCACAAUUAUAUUAAGCAUUUAAUUAUUAUCCUCUAUUACCAUAAUCAACAUUCAAAAUUCAUCUUGUAAAUUAGUUUCAUAAAUUGAAUCGAAUCACCAUUCACAACUUCGUUUAUCAAAUAAAAUGCAUUUUAUAAAGUAUUUCACAAUUUAAUACUCAAAAUCACUCUCAACUCCAUUCAUCAAACAUAUAUAUAUAUAUAUAUAUAUAUAUAUAUAUAUAUAUAUAUAUAUUUCACAAGACAUUUCUCACACCAUUUUGGAUUUCAAUUCAUAAACCAAGUUGACAAAUUAAUAUAUAUAUAUAUAUAUAUAUAUAUAUAUAUAUAUAUAUAUUACUUUUUGCAACUUAUUUCCUAAAACAUUUUUCAAAACAUUCUCAAAUACCAAAAGAUAGUAAAUAUCUUAUAUAGAUUUUAUGCAACAAACAUGCUUUAAAUAACUCAUACAAUACUCAAAUCAAUAUCAUUUUCAAGACAUGAGUUUACAAAUUCAUAACAAAAAUACCAUCACUCACUUGAGAAUGCCAAAAACGUAACUAUAUGCGUCGGUAAUCUCGUAAUCCUAACAAUUAGAUGAGAAUUGACGUCAAAACCAAGUAAAAUACUAUAACAACUACAAAUCAGUUAAACUAUGCUUAAAUGCUAACAAAAACAACUCUUACACGUCAAUAAAUCGCACACCCACAGCGAUUAUUUAAGCUAUUCGCGGCAUGGAACUCGCAAACGAAGUCGUAAAAUUUUGCUCCAACAAAACGAUUGCUCCAAAAUGACUCAUCAAAUCCUAUGGCUCCACAACAUCAUAAUCCAUCAUUUUUAUGAAAUCUUGUCACGCCCCGAACCCCGAGCGCGCGCACAUCCCACUAAGGUCGAUCUUAAAUGCGACAUCCCAGGAAAUGUCACCGAUCCAUUAAAUUCUUUACGCAUGCGGAAGCGAAACAAAUCCCCUGACAACAUUUAACUUGGGAUAGAAAAGCAGGCAAUCAAUCACCAUACCAAACACUCAUUUACAAACACAAAGGGUUUAAUUACAACACUGAACUUUCUACAAAAUAGACCAGCUCGACACAAGGAGGACUAUCCUACAACCAACUAGCAGGACACGCUCUCCAACCCUUAUGACUUCACAUCUGCAACUCCUCAAGGCCAAUCAAAGCUAUCUGGCCGCUCCGUCCACCAGGGACCUGAAAUUUUAAUCCCACAACCGGGAUGAGACGAUGUCUCAGCAAGUUCAACCCCCUAAACCCCUAUUAGAAAGAAAAUACGCCCCGGGUGGCCUAGCCACAUCACACAGAAGACUUACCUCGCCUCAGCCUUUAUCUGUAGGUUAGCACAAUUUAUAUAAACCAACCACGUGCAAUUAUGAUAACCAAACAACCAUGGCAUAAUCACAUUAUCAAACCAUUCAACCACUUGGAUCGUCUCAGCGAUCAAUCAACUCGGCCGAUUACAUGUCAUUCUAGCAAAUCAAUCAUUGCUCUCAACUACGGCCCUACUCGGCAAAUUUAAAUCAGUGGCAUCACGGCUCCACUCGGCGCAACCUUUAACAGGUGGCAAUUCACGGCCCCAUUGGGCGCGACCUCUAAUAGGUGGCAUAUCACGGCCUCAUCGGGCACGACCUCUAAUAGGUGGUUUAUCACGGCCUCUUUGGGCACGACCUCUUAGAGGUGGUUUAUCACGGCCUCUCUGGGCACGACCUUUCACAGGUGGUUUAUCACGGCCUCUCUGGGCACGACCUCUUAAAGGUGGUUUAUCACGGCCUCUCUGGGCACGACCUCUAAUAGGUGGUAUUUCACGGCCUCAUCGGGCACGACCUCUUGUAGGUGGUUUUUCACGGCCUCAUCGGGCACGACCUUUCCAAGGUGGUUUAUCACGGCCUCUCUGGGCACGACCUCUAAUAGGUGGUAUUUCACAGCCAAUCUCCCAUCAAUUUCUACACUUAGGAUUUCAUAAAGAAUCCCUAUAAAUCACAAUCACACUCAAUUCAUCACAACCAAUCAUCAAUUUCACAUUCUACAAGCAUAGCAACGAUCGGCACGAAAUUCUGAGCAAAUAAGGUCCUAAUGAAAAUUUUCAGAAUUUAAUAAAUAAUUAAAUUUAUUCCGAGAUAUUAAAUAAUAAUAUCCAUAGUUUUCGAAAUCCACACUCAAUUUAUAAUAUCCAAUCAUCAAUUUCAAAAUCGACUACACAGCAACGACCGGCACGAAAUUCUGAGAAUUUAAGGUCUCGACAAAAUUUUCGGAAUUUAAUAAAUAAUUUAAUUUAUUCCGAAAAUAAUUAAAUAAUAAUAUUUUAUUAAUUUCGAAUAAAAUAUAUUAUUAAAUUAUAUAAUAAUUUCGAGACAUUUAAAUAAAUCAAAAGUAAAUUCAUUUAAGUCAAAUCAAGGCUUAUUUUAAAUAAACCUACUUACCCUUAAUUAAGCACACUUUAAAUUAAACCACAACCUUAAUCAAAUCUACUCUUAAUUAACCUAAACUAACAACCUAAUAAUACUUAACAUAAACUAAACCUCCCUAAGCAUAAUUAACCCUCUAAGCGAGGUUUAGUGAGUUAAACUCACCGGAUUAGCGAGCCGAGCGAACCAAAACGACGAGGACGACGCGAGGAUCGACUUUCCUCAAAGCGGGCCGAGCAUCCGGGCUCGGGAAGGCGGCCAAAACGGGCCAAACACCCGCUGCCAUACCCAUUUUUCCAGAUUCUGCUUGCUGCUGGUUGGGGGCGAAGGAGGGCAGAUCCGGGGCCGGCUUAGGUCGAGAACGGGCGGAUGAGCUGCGGCGGUGCUGCACGGCCAACGGCGGGGCCUCACGGUGGCCGGAGGUGAGCUGGACGGCUCCGGCUGAGCUUCCCCAGAUCUGGAAUCGCUGCUGGACUCGCGGAACAGCAGGGACGACGAGGACGGCUGGGCGGAGCAGCUCGCGGGGCUGCGACGGCGAGCGAGCGGAGGGACGGCCGGCGACGAGCGGGCGGGCGGACGGCCAUGGCUGCUCCAGCUUCGACGCCUCCUCAGAUCUGCUGGGGACGCGGGCUGAGGCGGAGCGGAGACGGUGCGACGGCAGGCCGGCGAGCGCGCGCGGGCGGCGCGGGACGGACGCACGGCGGCGGUGGCGACGACGAUGUGCGAGCGGGUGGCCGGCCAUGGCUGCAGCUUCUUCUUCUCUGCAUUUUUCUGGUCUUCGCACCAUGGAAGUGGAGAAGAGAGGCAACGGGAGAGAGAAGGAAGGAGAGAGAAGGGGAGCCAUUUCAUUUUCUUUUCCCUUUUCUUUUUCUCUUUUUCCCUCAUCCAAUCAAGGUGGCCCACCAUAACCUAGGAUGACCUCAUAAUCCACUCACCCAAUCCUCCACAACAUCUUCCAAUGGGUCCAAUUCCAUUUUCCGCCGGGGUCCAAUUCUUGUACACUAAUUUCUCCAAUUCCAUUCAAUUCUCUUCCAAUUGAGUCCAAUUGAAGUUCAUAAAAUUAAUCCAAUGUCACCACACUUCAAUUCACAUCUUCACUUGUCCAUAGAACCAACUUAAGUCCCAAAAGUACGACCGAAAGCGGGCCUACUAAUUUCUCGAGCCAAAUUAGCCAUUCUUUGAUUAUUUUGCUGAAAAGCUCGGCUUGCAUGAAAAAUCUUCCCAAGGAUGAUUCAAGGAUCUUGAAAUGAUUUGUGACAUACCCAGACUUCCAAUUUCUGAAUUCGAUCUCAAUUCCACGGUUAAUUUCACUUUGGCACGAUACUAGCGCGGCCUAACCUACCGGGUAGCCUUUAGAAAUUUUCAUGCAUUUGACCUGUGGUUGAUCAUCUCAAGCCAUAAUGUACAUCUUUGAAACAUUGGCGACUUUCGGUUGUCGGAGUAAUCUCAAGGUUUCAAAUACGAACACAGGGUACCCAAUCGAUAGAAAAGUCGGUCCAGUGCCGAUCGACAAGAAUUGUGCGAUCUGGUGGAAUCACCCACACUUGAUCACAUGCCUCUGUCGAGUCGACCUAUCUCCGAUCUCUAAUCGAUUUUAAUCGUGCCGUAAUGACCCUUGCAGAUUAGCUCGGUCGAAAGGUCGCUUCCUGGUCAAAUUCUCGAGUCUGAUGCAUUAGAAACUCUUAACAGCUUCGCCCGAUAGACUAGUUUCCACAUGAGUGGCCAACUCAAGGAAAAGAACUAUAUGCGUGCCAACAAAAUGCCCAUAUCAAUUUAUUGAAAAUAGAAUUGGAAAAUCGGGAUGUCACAAAUCUCAAAACUCAACUAAGUCAAAAAUUGCACUUUAUGACUCAAAUUUCGAAACUUUUAAUUUGUGCCAUAAUUUUAAAAACUACUCCAAUUAGACAAAUGAAGGGUGUGUGCACUUAUCGAGUGUUGCGAACCGAAGUAAAUACAAUUUGAUGAGAUCUCCAAGGUGUGUACGCAUGAGUUUUUUUCUUCCCCUUUCCCUCUAUUUUCCUUCUUCUUUCUUUUCUUUCUUUUCUUUUCUUUCUUUCUCUCUCUUUCCCUUUUCUACAUAAGCUCUCGAUCCCUAUAAAAUUGAGUCCAUUCUUUUUCAUUUGCUUUUUUUAUUGUUCAAUUUUUGUACUUUUUGACAUUUGACUUGGUCAAACUCCAAAAAUUAUAGUUACAUCAAAAAAUGCCUCCGUGAGUCAAUUUAGGGAUGAUAUAAUAUUAGAGUAUAACCACCUCUAGUGGAUGUGUUGUUUGGGGACGAGCCACACAAUAGUUGGUAGGCCUAUAACGACCUGGUCCGACAAGGAUGGGAAGUGACCGCAUGGGCCAAAGAGCUCAAACAAGAAGCGGCUCCUAUCAACCUUUUAGGAUGGCGAAGAAGGUAAGAACAAACUGAAUUGCAUACUAAAGAGAGAGAAAGUGUGCCUAGGAUAUAUUUGGAAUUAACUCACGGAGACAUCCUUUGACGUAAUAGCAAGUUUUGUUUUGAAACUUUAAAGUUAAUCGUACUUAAUUUAGAACAAUAUCAAAAUGUGUAACCUCCUAGAAAAGGAUUAAUACCCUGAAAAACCCCAAACUGGUACACUUGUGACAAAUUUACCCUAAACUAUUUUUUUGACUGCCAAAAACCCUAAACUGGUAUACCUUUGACAAAUUUACUCCAAACUAGUACACUUGUGACAAUUUUACUCUCUGUUAGUUUUUAUUAAAUUUUGUUCUCAAAUUAUUACUUUAAAUGACACGUGACAGUUGACCAGUAUACUAAUUUAGGAUUUUAUGCUCCGUUUGUCACAAUUUACAAUUUUUAUGAUUUUUUUUGUGGUAUUAAUCCAAUUUAGCAAAUGAUAUAUUUGUCACAAAUUUACCAUUUUUGGGUUUUUUGCAGUCGAAUAAAUUAGUUUUGAGUACAUUUAUCAUAAAUGUACCAGUUUAUGGUUUUUUAUAGUCAGUCGGGGUAAAUUUGUUACAGAUAUACCAAUUUGGGGUUUUUCAUGGUCAAAAAAAUAGUUUUUGGUAAAUUUGUCACAAAUAUACCAGUUUGGGAUUUUUCAGGGUAUUAACCCCCUAGAAAAGUGUCUUCCUAUAUGAUAAAAGACAAAACCGUAAGACUUGAAGUUGGAUAAAUUAAAAAGAAAAUACCUCGAGUGAGUUAAUUAAAGAAUAUCAAUACCGUUACAUCAAAAAUCAUUAAUUCUAGUUUUCACAAUUAUAUUCUAGACACACUCUUCCCAUGUUAGGUGUGGAAUUCCAUUUAUUUAUACCUCCGUCGCCGUUCUAGAAUUCUGACAGCCUCUUCUUAUCUGAAUCUUUUGACCCUGAUAGCCACUUCUUAUCCGAAUCCAUUGACCCUGACAACCACUCUCCGCCUCCAUCAAAUCGGGUCAUUAUGACCUUGUUGUAGGGUUAGGUCAUGAAUUUUCAGAAUAAAUGAAUUGACUAUGAGAGCCGACAUUAGCUGGCGGAAAAGCGGAGGGCGCUCCUGGUAAAGCAUGUAGCUGCCGGUCAAGAGAUGAUAGAGAUCAUCUCUGGGUCGGCGUGGGUGUGGAAGCUUCGCGUCGUCCCAAACCGCGUCCGCUCAUAAUUUAUUUGCGUGGUGGAUGUGGGUUGGUAAUGUCACUGUUUGUCCUCUUCUUUUUGACAACAGUUUUAUAUUGGAAGCCAACUGUCCACAGCUGAGUUGGUGUAGAGGUUUGACCCUCACUGAUCCUUCUUUGCAUCUCCUCUUCUCUCACACGCUUUUCUCCCUUCUCCAUCUUUGCCCCCGAAACUAUAAAAACCACCUCCCCAUCUCUCCCAUUUCAUCAAGCAAAACUAACCCCCACUUCUCUCUCUCCUCUACAGUCCUCACUCUCAAAUCAUCUCAUUGGCAUUUGCAUCUCUUCAGCAACUACAGCAGCAGCAACAACAGAAAACAAAACGCGCCCAAUAUGGCCUCUCGUUCCACUUCUUCGCUUUGUAGAGCUGCGCUUCUUCUCAUGGUCGUUUCUUGGGCGACUUCUGCUUCCGCCCGCAACUUCUAUCAAGACUUCGACAUAACCUGGGGAGAUGGCCGAGGUCAGAUCCUCAACAAUGGCGACCUCCUCACUCUCUCCCUUGACAAGGCCUCCGGCUCCGGCUUCCAGUCCAAGAACGAGUACUUGUUCGGCAAGAUUGACAUGCAGCUCAAACUUGUUCCUGGCAACUCUGCUGGCACCGUCACCGCAUACUAUGUAAGUCUCCUCGGUAAUUAGUUUGUGCCCCUUGGUCUUCAAGCAUCGUUCUUUUUUCUUGAUUCGAUUUUAACUUAUGCUAUAUUGUUAUUCCCCAGUUAUCUUCAAAUGGGUCGACGUGGGACGAGAUAGAUUUCGAGUUCUUGGGGAAUUUAAGUGGCGAUCCGUACAUUCUUCACACCAACGUGUUCAGCCAAGGCAAGGGCAACCGAGAGCAGCAAUUCUAUCUCUGGUUCGACCCAACUGCUGAUUUCCACACCUACUCCAUCCUCUGGAAUCCACAACGCAUCAUGUAAGAGUCUGAAAAGCUCAAAAUGCGACCUUACUUGCAUUUACAUUGCGCUACACUAUUCUCUGUAGCAUUUACUCAAAAACCGGUGUGUGCGACCAUUGCAGAUUCUCAGUGGACGGGACUCCCAUCAGAGAGUUCAAGAACGCAGAGUCGAUCGGCGUUCCUUUCCCCAAGGCCCAGCCCAUGAGGAUAUUCUCGAGCCUCUGGAACGCGGACGACUGGGCAACCAGAGGCGGGCUCGUGAAAACGGACUGGACACAAGCGCCCUUCACUGCUUCCUACAGCAACUUCAAUGCCGAUAACGCCUGCGUUUGGUCAUCUGGGUCGUCAUCUUGCACUUCAUCUUCAUCUUCUUCGGAUGGUAAUGCAUGGCUAUCAGAAGAGCUCGACUCAACAAGCCAAGAGAGCCUGAAGUGGGUGCAAAGCAACUACAUGAUCUACAACUACUGCACGGAUGCCAAAAGAUUCCCCCAAGGCUUCCCUCCCGAGUGCUCCAUGUCCUAGACGACACAAGACAUUGAUUUUGUAAAAAAUUCGCUGUUCUUUUUCUUCUUUUUCGAGCCAAUUCUAUUAAUUUGUUUUGUGGCCGAGAAGCAAUUGAUAUUUUUUUAUUCUUUGACGAUUGUAGCAUUCCUAUCUUUACUCAAUAAAACAGAAAAUCAUCUUGGAUUUCAUAGUAUUGCUGCGACUCAGUGAGUGGAUACAACACAGAACAAAAUUAAGGGAAUGAAAAUGGAUUUUACAGGCCAGCUCCUGCCUUGAAUAUGAAACUGAUGACACAAUUGAUUACGCCGUCGUAGCUCAGAAAAUUAGAUAAACGCUACGUUGAACAAGUUCUGUUUUUAUGUUGAAUUCAACUCCGAUGUCCUCAUCGAGGGACUGAUUUGGUCGACAUUUCUUCCUGGUCCUUGUGCUCCACAGAAGGAUCAAACAUAGAAAACCGAUCAUCACAAUACCAUCAUGACCAGACAAGCUUUCCAAAUCUGCAAACUCAAAGAACAUCCUUGACUCCAACACAGAAUCAACCAUGAUUUACGGCCGAUCAACCUCAAGUCAACCCAACUUAAAGAGCAAGGUGCCGCAAACUAGGAUCCAAAAAUCGUACUGUGUGCCUGCAACCCCUCCCGCAACUGACGGUACUCUUAGCUGAUUUCACAAACUCUAAUGUUAAAUAGCUUCGGGGACUCUAAUGGCAAUGCUGCACAACCGAACACUUGUAAGUGAGAUAUAACAGGAGUAGUAUCAUAAAGAACCUUCCGAGGAGACAAAUUGUCUAGAACAGGAGUUGGGAGAUCAAGUGAACUGCAGUCUCAAAAGCAAAUUCCCAGAGAUGACAAGGAAGAGCAGACUCAUCAUGAGACCAAGGCCAGUUUCCACUGUAUUGGCAAUGCUUGCAUUCAACGGUCCCAUUUUGAAAUAGAGAUUAUGCACAAUAAAUGCGCCAAUGAAUGCCAUGACUGAGAAGGUAAGAGUGCAUGGUAGAGGAUAAGAACUCGGGUGCUCCAUCACACUAAAUCAUCUAAAGCUUGCACUGAAGUUGAGUCUUCAUAAGGGCAUGAAAGGCUUUAAAAAUGUUGAAAAAUUGAUCUUGAGAUGCGAGGGGAUAAAGCCAAGUAAAUCAAUAAAAUUCAUCAAUAAAACAGCCGUAAUAUUUAUAAAACAGGAGGCAGACCCCAAACAUCAAAAUGAACUAGCUGAAGAGAGGAAGCCCUAGGUCUGUGUACGUCAAAUCACAUAAAUUGUUCCGUCUAGGCGUUCUCCGAAGGAUGGAGAAGAAAGGAGACCAGAGAUUGUGGCAGCAGGAGUUGUGGGUCUGGUGAUGGUUGUAGUGGAAGGCUGGGAUUGUUGUAAAGUUGUUUGUUCGGCAGAGGAGGAAUUUGCAGAGGAAUUUGAGUCACUCGUAUUUAGAUCGAUGGGCUUUUGCCUUUUUGAUACCAAGACAGAAAUAGAGAUGCAGAAAGAAAACAGAGAAUAUAGAAGACAUAAGAAAAGUGUGUGUGUAUAUAUAAAUAUAGAAAGAAUCUCUAGAGAUAGAUAUUGACAACAAAAUUUGUAACCACCAAUGAAGAUAAUAUUUGAAUCAAUCAAGGAUUACAUAUUAUGCGUAGAUUCUGAUUGUGUGGUGAUUCUGGUAACGUUAUCAAUCUCGGAUUGGAUAUCAUGCGAAUAUCUUGAUUAUACUGUGAGUCAUAUGCGAGCUAGAGAUAAUAUUUGAUUCUGGUGUGAGCUCGAAUAGUUAGCAGUGGAUUGCGUCAACAGAUAGCUUCAGAUAGAAUCUUCCUGAUAAUCACUCAAAUCCUAAGUUUGUCAUCCAUACAAAUUGCACAACCAAAGAAGCAUCGGCAUAAUGCUGCUGCAAAUUCAAGACGUCAAAGCAUAUAUAUAAGGCAAAACCUGAAGAUUACCUUCCUCCAACCAAACAAAGUCCAUUUCCAUCUUCUUUUCCCAGCUAAAAGAAUGCACCAAUCACCAGUAAAAGAAAACUCCUUGUACUUAUCCUUUCAAACCAUCCUUGCAAAUUGUCAAUAUGCGGAAUUUCUGAAAAAAGGUGAUAAUAAUCGACUCUUUUAAAUCAGAGAGAAAUAUAAGUUGAACAAAGAGACAGAACACGAAUACACGAAUAAUUUAAAGGAAAUAAAAAUUGAAUAGAGGGAAAGAUAAGAAAGGAUCUGAAACAGAGGAUUUCGGGUGCCUCUGCAGACAUUUGCUGCACGGAAUUCUCUUCAUGAUCUCAACUUGCAAUCUCCGUCAAAAAAUUUUGAUUGAACAAAUAAAGAGGUUAACCCGAGUGAAGUUAACAAAAAUUGAUUGACUUGAGCCAACGCAACAUUCGGCUGAACUUUUUUUACAUUUUAGAACCAAAAAAGCAUGCAUAAUCUGAACAAUUUUAAAUGUAAUUUAUUAUAUUCUCUCCAAAGAUUUGAGGUGUUGUAUGUUAAGUUGAGGUGAAAUAGCAAAGUUAAAUUUGAAAAGGUAAGAAAUGAGAAAAAUAAAAUAGAAUCGGAAUGUAUCUAGAUAGAACGCAUUCCCGAAUCGUACAUGUAGAAUAGUGGGAGGAGACAUGUGGGUUCUCAAAGAGUACGAGUUUUCAAUAUGUCCGCUCUUUGGUGUCGAAAGAGAACGGACUUUUGCUUUCCAUGAAAGUUUUUAGAUGCUUCUCCUAUAAUGUCUCUGCCUAAGAUACAUGAAGAUGAUAGUCGACGUGAUCUCUAAUGUAUGCAAAUUAUAGUGCACGGGAAGAAGGUACGUACCCCACCAUAUGAGAUCCACCGACAUUAGGUGAAGGAAAAGCAGCGACCGCUCAUGGUGAAGCAUGUAGCUGGUAGGGGUGAGCAGCGGUCUAGGGUCGACCCUGGACCGACCCUAGACCGGCCCAACCCUGCCGGUCUUGGUCCGGUUCCCAAGGGGACCGGGUCGGUCCUUGAUCCUGAAUUUCCAGAACCAACACUGUGCGGGUUGGUCCUCGAUCCUAAGAGUUUUUGGUCAGUCCAACCCUGGACCAACCCUGUAUAUUAUAUUAUAUUAUUUAUAAUUAUUUUAUAUAUUCAAACCUAAGUAAAAUGUCUGUUAUAUUAUAUUAUAUUAAGAUGUUAUAUCAAUAGAACUAAUAAUAAUUUCAAUUUAAAACUUUUGUUGAGUAUUAAUUAUGUGUCAUUUGUUUUGUUUUCAGGUAUUUAGAAGUUCAAGUGAAUUAACAAAAUGUGAAGUUAUAUAUUCAUGGUUUAUAUUAAGUAUUUUGAACUUUUUAUGGUUUAAUUGUAUUUUAUUAAUGAAUUUUAGCUGCACUUUAUUUUUCAAUUUGUGUCAAAUGGUAUAAAUUUUUUAAGAGUAGAGUAAUACUGCAGUUGCUACGGUGAUUUGCUAGUCAAGUGGUGUGAAGCUCAUUUUUUGGUUGAGUGGACUUUACAAUCAAAUGCAAGAAAACGCUUUUGCAUAUGGUGUUAUGAAUAUUAAAGAUAGAUGAUUACAAGAACUUUCCAUCUUGUCCCAUAUCUCGAUGAGCGGUUAAUAGCUACGGAAUUUCUAUUAUUGUGUCAUCUUAAAUUUACUAAAUAUGUAUUGGUAUUUAUAAUUUAGUUGCACAAUGCCGCAUUAUCGAUGGAUGUGUAAUUUGAAUUUGUAGGUUUACUUUUUUAAGGAGUAUAAAAAAUAAGACGAAAAAAAUUAUUGAUCGGUCUCGGGUUGACCCUGAAACCGGACCGAACCCAUUGGGUCGGUCCGGUCCUUGGUCCCAAGCUCAAUAGGGUCGGUUCUCGGUCCUAAAAAUUGAGGACCGACACUGUAUGGGUGGGUCCUAGGGUUAGGGGAUGGCCCGAAUCAACCCGGACCAUGCUCACCCCUAGUAGCUGGUGGUGAACAGACGAUAGAGCCCGUCUCCGUGUGGGGAAGCUCCAUGUCGUCUCGAACCGCGUUGCCUCAUAAUUUAUUUGCAUGCUGGACGUGCGUUGGUAGUGGUAGUGUCACUGUUUGUCCUCUUCUUUUUUAAAGCAACUUCUAUAUUGGAAGCCAACUGUCCACAGCUGAGUUAGCGUGGGGGGUUGACUCCCACCAAUCCUUCGUUGCCUCUCCUCAUCUCUCACACGUUUUCUCCCAUCUUCAUCUUCGGUACGAAGCUAUAAAUACCAUCUCCACAUCUCUCCCAUUUCAUCAAUCAACGCAAACACUCCACAUCUCUCUCUCCUCUUCAGUCCUCACUCUCAUAUCAUCUCAUUGAGAUUUGCUUCUCUUCUUCAACUACAGCAGCAGCAGCAGCAGACAGAACACGCCCAAUAUGGCCUCCCUUUCUACUUCUUCGCUUUGCAUCGCCACUCUGCUUCUCGUGGUCGUUUCUUGGGGGACGUUUGCUUCCGCCCGCAACUUCUAUCAAGACUUCGACAUAACCUGGGGUGAUGGCCGAGCUCAGAUCCUCAACAACGGCGACCUCCUCACUCUCUCCCUCGACAAGGCCUCCGGCUCCGGCUUCCAGUCCAAGAACGAGUACUUGUUCGGCAAGAUUGACAUGCAGCUCAAGCUAGUUCCCGGCAACUCCGCUGGCACCGUCACCGCAUACUAUGUAAGUCUCCUUCUUAAUCAGUUUGUGCCCCUUUAUCUUCAAGCUUCCUUCUUUUUUUCUCGAUCAGAUUUUUAAUUUUUGCUAUGUUGUUAUUCUACAGUUAUCUUCAAACGGGUCGGCGUGGGAUGAGAUAGACUUCGAGUUCUUGGGGAACUUGAGCGGCGAUCCAUACAUUCUCCACACCAACGUCUUCAGCCAAGGCAAGGGUAACCGAGAGCAGCAAUUCUAUCUCUGGUUCGACCCAACUGCUGAUUUCCACACCUACUCCAUCCUCUGGAAUCCACAACGCAUCAUGUAAGAGUCUGAAAAGCUCAAAAUGCGACCUUACUUGCAUUUACAUUGCGCUACACUAUUCUCUGCGGCAUUUACUCAAAUACCUUUGUGCGCGACCAUUGCAGAUUCUCAGUGGACGGGACUCCCAUCAGAGAGUUCAAGAACGCAGAGUCCAUCGGUGUUCCCUUCCCCAAGGCCCAGCCCAUGAGGAUAUUCUCGAGCCUCUGGAACGCGGACGACUGGGCGACCAGAGGCGGGCUCGUGAAGACGGACUGGACGCAAGCGCCCUUCACUGCUUCCUACAGGAACUUCAACGCCGAUAACGCCUGCGUUUGGUCAUCUGGGUCGUCAUCUUGCACUUCGUCUUCAUCUUCUUCGGAUGGUAAUGCAUGGCUAGCAGAAGAGCUUGACUCGACAAGCCAAGAGAGGCUCAAGUGGGUGCAGAGCAACUACAUGAUCUACAACUACUGCACGGAUGCCAAAAGAUUCCCCCAGGGCUUCCCUCCUGAGUGCUCCAUGUCCUAAACGACACAAGACAUAGGAUUUGUAGAAAAUUCUCUAUUCGUUUUUUUCCCUUUUUGGAGCCGAUUCUAUCAAUCUGUUAAUCUCUCUCUCUCUCUCUCUCUCUCUCUCUCUCUCGUCGAGAAGCAAUUGAUAUUCUUUUAUUCUUUGACACGUGUCACAUUCUUGUCUUUAUUAAAUGAAACAGAAAAUCAUCUUGGAUUUCAUAGCAUUGCUGUGAUUCUCAGUACACAUGUUUUUACAUGACCCCGAAGUGUAGGUUCGAAGUCUUGUAAUCAGUCUUGUAAUCUAUACAAUAAAUACUCCAAGCAAUGCUAUUUCUACUGUCUAUAAGGAUUUUCCCACGGCUAAUUUAGUAAAUUAAAAAAAUCACCCUCAAAGAAGAGGGAAAACAAAGAAAAAAAAAAGAAAAAAAGAAAAGAAAAAAUAAUUCGAAUUUAAAAAUAAAAGGGGGGGGGGGGGAGAGGAGGAGGAGGAAAUGAAGGCUUGGAAGAGUGUGAGAUAAGAGAAACCAAGUAAGAAAAAGUGGAAAACAUUUUUCCCUAGUUUAAAAGACUUUUUUUUCCUCAUUCAUGGAAAAUGUUUUCCCCAAGCAAUUCAUUUUUUUGUGAAAUAAACGUUGGAACUUUGGAAAACAUUUUUUUAGAAAUUAUUUUCCGCAAAACGAAUGAAGCCUGAAUGUAAACUUUGUAUGACCGGUACAAAAGAUAUAAACCACUUAUUCUUUUAGUGCACCUGGACAAGUAGUGUAUGGCAUAGUAUUUUGGUACAAAAUGGAAUUUGACAUUAUGUAGGAGGUUGGAACUUAGAACUUCAAUGAAUGAUUGGAGACACCAAGGGUAAAAACUUGAAGAUGAGACUCCUCAAGCUAUCUUUUUUAGCGACAAUCUAUUACAUCUGGAUGGAACACAAUCGCAAAUGAUUUCAAAACAAGUAGAUUGAGACUCAUGUUCUGUUAACUAAGAUUCAAAAGAUUGUAAGAGGUAAGACGUCACUCUACUAAAAAUGUAGGUCUUUCUAGGCAAAUGUUUUAUUAGCUCCUGUAUGGAGCCUCCCUCCUUCCAUCUUUUCGCAUUAAUGGUCUCUUUAUAAUGUUAGGGGAUCCCCCUAAGCUUAGUACCUCAUAUGAUUAAUGAUAUUCACAUAUUUACAAUUUUUUUUUUUUAAAAGUGCGAAAAUGAAAACCUGACAGUAGUCGACCAAAGAAUACACAUGGCCAUGUUUUAGAGCUUUAGGACAGGAUCCACCUUGAGUAAAAUGGAAAUUUAAGUAUUCAUGAAAUUAUUCUAAACGUGUGACAUUACACUAUUCUAAUCCAUGCCAAACAAAUUAUUUAUAAUAAAAGUUAUUUAUAGAAUACCCAAAAAAGCACUAAUUAGGGGAUGACUUUAGAAAAUUAGAGAAAUUCCAAACCUAUCAUUUAUGCUCUAGUUUAUUUAACAGUAAUAUAUACUUUUUGGUUUUCUUCCAUAUUUUUUAAUUAUUAUUUUUAAAAUUUGUUUGAAAAAUAAUAUCAAUUCAUUAGACUGAAGUAUGCUUAAUUCAAAUAAACAUGGACCAAUUCAAAACAUGAAUAUCACAUUAAUAAAGCUCGAAUCAACCUGUUCAAGAUUGGAAUGUGGUUUGGGCAUUUCGUCGAACGACCAAUGUGCAUUAGAAUACACAGACCAGUUCGUGACCUUCAAUCUUGACUCGAAAGUGAUCUUAAGCUCAAACAAGACAUCAGAGUUAUACUAAAACUUUUAGGGGAAAAUAUGAACAAGAAAUAAGAUCCCAAAAUACAUUAAAUUAUAAUUUAGCCUACCUUAUAUUGGUUCAACCUACUUUUGCAAAUCGAGGUUUGAACCCUAGUCAAGAAAAUAGGUCGCCUACCCCGAUUCAAGCCCUUAUAUCUAAUAUACUAAAGACUUUGGGAAAAAUUCACUCAAUCUGAAUGAAUGUAUGUAUUACGAGAUUUCAAAUGCAACAAACAUCCCAGAUAAUGAUCAACUACAAAGGUCAAAAUGACCCCUCAAAGUGGCCUUCAUGCAUGAUCCACACAAGCUAGCCAUCUAGUGUGAAUCGGUUCAGUUUUUUGUUCAAGUUCUAAGUGCUCCAUGGCUCAUAUAGAGAUUUAAAAACCAAAUGAAGUUGACCUAAGUAUCAUUUGUAAUCCCAUAUAAUAUUCAUCAAGUUUACAAAGACAGAUAACUCAUGUAAACAAGUGUAGCAAGUCAAGUAUGCAAGACUCUUGAAGCUAGUUCAACACUUAGAAAACCAGCCUCAGAUAUAAGUUUCCUAACUCUUGAUUUUCCAUGGUCAAAAUUGAACAAAAAUGCAUUUAAGAUCCCUACCUUGCUACCUAGUUGCUGCUCCUAAUAAGCUUCUAAGAUGGCAAAGAGAGUAGGAUUUGAAUUGCACACCAAAGAGAGAGAGGGUAUGCUUGGGACAUAUUUGUAAAAAUUGGAAUUAAUUUACGAAAGUACCUAAGUUUAGAGCAUCACCAAGAUAUGUGACCUCCUAGGAAAGUGUCUUCCUGUACGACAAAACAAAAGUUUGAGACUUUGUAUUGGAAGGGCCAAAAGGACAAUAUCUCGACUAAGUUAAUAAAUUAAUGUUAAUGUCGUUACAACAUUAAUUUCAAUUUUCACAAAUAUAAGUCAAGCGCACUCUUCUCAUGUUAGGUGUGGAAUUCUAUUUAUUCAUGUCCCCUUCACCAUUCUAGAAAUCUACUAUGAGCCAUUUUUUUAUCUGAAUCCUCUGGCUCCAACGACUACUCUUUCCCCCAUCAAACGGGAUGUGCUGUCUUCACUAUGAGAAACGACAUUAGCUGGCGGAAAAGCAGCGAGAGGUCAUGAUAACGCAUGUGCUGCUGGCGGUCGAUGGAUGAUCGAGCUCGUCUCUGCGUGGGGGUGGGCGUGCGAGGGGAAGCUUCGUGGUGUCUCUAACCGCGUCCCACUAAUUUAUUUGUACGACGGAGGUUGGUAUGUCGCCGCUCGUCUGUCUUCUUUUCAGAAUCAUAUUUUAAUAUCAGAAGCCAACUGUCCACAGUUGAGUCGGUGUCGAGGUUUGACUCCCAUCAAUCCUUCUUUGCCUCUCCUGUUCUCUCACACGUUUUCUCCCUCCUCCAUCUUCGGCACGAAGCUAUAAAUACCAUCUCCACAUCUCUCCCAUUUCAUCAACCAACAGAAACACCCACAUCUCUCCCUCCUCUUCAGUCCUCACUCUCAUAUCAUCUUUGCUUCUCUUCAGCAACUACAGCAGCAGCAGAAAGACAGACAGAACACGCCCAAUAUGGCCUUCCCUUCUACUUCCUCACUUUGCAUCACUACACUGCUUCUCGUGGUCGUUUCUUGGGCGACGUCUGCUUCCGCCCGCAACUUCUAUCAAGACUUCGACAUAACCUGGGGUGAUGGCCGAGCUCAGAUCCUCAACAACGGCGACCUCCUCACUCUCUCCCUUGACAAGGCCUCCGGCUCUGGCUUCCAGUC
rnacentral:lncRNA from 1 species